AGUUGGUCCAACGCAAUUGGUUGCGUUUCCUCCCUUAAGACUUACAGCCCCGCGCGACAUCCGCUGCGGGGCUUUUUUUUGCGCCUG
rnacentral:sRNA from 1 species